GUACCUGGUUCGGCAGCACAUAUAGUAAAAUUGGAACAAUACAGAGAAGAUUAACAUGGCCCUUGUGCAAGGAUGACAUGCAAAUUUGUGAAGCAUUCCAUAUUUUG